rnacentral:piRNA from 1 species
UACGGAUUGAAGUUGUGGACAUCAAU